rnacentral:rRNA from 1 species
UACGGGGGGGGCAAGCGUUGUUCGGAAUUACUGGGCGUAAAGGGCUCGUAGGUGGCCAACUAAGUCAGACGUGAAAUCCCUCGGCUUAACCGGGGAACUGCGUCUGAUACUGGAUGGCUUGAGUUCGGGAGAGGGAUGCGGAAUUCCAGGUGUAGCGGUGAAAUGCGUAGAUAUCUGGAGGAACACCGAUGGCGAAGGCAGGUCUCUGGGCCGCAACUGACGCUGAGGAGCGAAAGCAUGGGGAGCGAACAGG